GCCUUUGUAGUGUAGCUGGAAGCAUACUCGACGUGCAUUCGAGAGGUCCGGUGUUCGAAUCUCGGUGAGGGUA
rnacentral:tRNA from 1 species